UGAAUUGGCCAAACAAGAAGAACAUCUGAAUAUGGCUGGUAUGAACAGCAAAGCCACAUUGAGCAUAGUUUUCAUAGUUUGGUUCAGUCUUUUGUUGUAAUAUCUAAACUGUCCCUCUUUUACUUUAUACAAAAAAAAUACUUAGUUGAGUUGAAUUUCUUAAAGUUUUAUCUUUAAGAAAUUCAAACUGGACUAAUUAAACUUGUAUCAUACAACAUUUUGAUGCACUUGUGGAUUACUGAAUCAAGGCUGAAACAAUGAUGUAAUGAUCUGAAACAGAUUUAUAAUGAUGUAAUGAUAUUUGCAGAUUUCAAUAGGAUAUCAAAUAUACUGGGAUUCUCUCCAUUCCAAAUGAAAUGGAGACUCUUCAUGGUUUAGAUUUAAAAUGUGUUGAAAUGUGACAUCAUGCUAAAUCAUAGACCCUCCAUUUCAUUUGAAAUGGAGAGGAUCCUAUUCCGAAAAUGGGAUAUGAAGCAACAAAUGGGCCAAGCUUGAUGGAGUAUCUUUCCUUGGGGCACCCUGUCCCUCUCAAAUAUCAACUUAUCAACCAAACAUGAGCACUAAUAAAUUCCUUUUCAUUGUUGGCCAUUUACAGGAGGACACAAACAAAUGUAAGCUUCAAAGUCGAUGGAAUGAAACACCACCAAAACAUAUACUACAAUGAAAAAUCAACAACCCAUAAAGAUGCAGACUUCCCACCAUCUUCGAUUCAGCAAACCUAGCUAGAGUCAUAAUCACAUUAGUCAAAACAAGCCCACCUCGUUCCGAUAAAAACACGUUGAUUCUUGUUGCGAGAGGUCUCUCCUUUCACUGUGCAAGAUUACAUGUUCGAGUUUACCCUUCAACAGAAGUCUAAAGAUUUCAGAAUUAACCAAGAUGCUAUACAUAAAUAGCCUAAGUUUCACAUCGGCUCCCUUUCCCCAAGAUUCCCCUAAAAACUGAUGUAUUUUCGUAACAAAAAUCGACAUCUAUUAGUUUUUGUAUCAAUAAAGAAAAACUUAAAUCACAUGUAAAUUUAAACUAGAAUAACAAGGGAAAAGCAAACUUUAAAAACAAACAAAAACACCAUUUCACAACCUUCAGAUUAAGGAGAGCACACAUACAAUCUUCAACUCUUAAAAACUUCAACCCCUUAAAAAGGAAAGUAAAAAAAGAAUAUUGAUGAGGAGAUGGAUACUUCAACACAAAUAACCAUAAGAUCAAUUAAAUGUUCAAAAACUUUAAAAAACAAAUAUUUUAGAUCCAUUUCAGAUCAGUCACUACUUAACCAAAUCUGAAACCAGAAGAGAAGAUGAUCACUUACCAGAAACCACCAUCACCCAAACCCCAAUCUGAUUAGUUGAUUGAGGAUUUUUAUAACAUUGAUUUAGUCAAAAGGUCAAUUUGUCUGGCUUAUGGGAAAUCAAAAAAGACUUUGUAGAAAAAAGAUUGGUUUAU
rnacentral:lncRNA from 1 species